rnacentral:lncRNA from 1 species
CCCUUUUUGAAUAAAUUGCUAAUUAGUUAUUCUUUUCCAUGAUCUGUGGGACAGAGAUUAAUACAUGACGAAAUAGAGAAGAUCAAAAGUUUUCCCAUGGAUUCAAAUGCACCCUUUAGGGAAAGAUUGAAAUUCUUGGGCCGAGUUGCAAACACGGAUGAUCUUCAAUUAAGUGCAGCCGAGAAGAAACUCUUGAAUGCAUACAAUGAAAAGCCUGUGCUCUCACGUCCUCAGCAUGAAUUUUAUUUGGUAGGUUAAUCCAAGAAACUUUGUGCAGUUAGCAUCAUUGCAUUUAUUUUCUUCUGACUUGGUUAUAUUUACUAUUUAGGCUCUGAGAAUUGAACUCUGAAUCCACCUUUAUGAGACUUGUAAAAAACAAGACGACUUUUUAACUGUGCCCCUUAAAAUAUUGACAUUUUUCUACUGCAUACAAACAAUAUAUCACCUUUUAGCUCUUACGAAAACAAACUUCCAACAAAACCAUUUAUGCCUCCUUCAAAUAAAAGUCUCUUUUUGCAUGAUGGUGGAACCUGGACAAAAGGAAUAUUCAAUCAGAUCUUCGCAAUCACAUUUUUGUCGUGCAAAUUAAACAACAACUUAUAACUUUUCAUGUGGAUAUUCCCUCCUUUGCUAUGUACAGACAUUCAUGUAUUUUGCAUGUAAAAUCAAACAAAAUUCUCUUGGUGUUCAUACUGAAAUCUUUAGUGUUGGCUGUUGCAGGGCGAAAACUAUUUUGAGAUUGAUUUAGACAUUCACAGAUUCAAUUACCUCGCUAGAAAAGGAGUGGAAUCAUUUAAAGACAGAUUGAAAAACUGUGUCCUUGACUUCGGUCUGACAAUUCAGGUAACUAUUAACAACUCUAAAGAGGAUUUGGCUACCUCUUGAAGACUUGUAUCUGAUGUUACUUGUAAAUAUGGUGCAGGGAAACAAAGCAGAGGAUUUGCCGGAAAAUAUGUUGUGUUGUAUUAGAAUGAAAGAGAUUGACUACACCAAGUAUCACAAACUUGGCUUCUAAACCAUGGCAGAAACAUCUGCAACAGACUCAAAUGUUGCGAGCCAGUCUUACUGCAUGAUACUACACAGAAACCAACUUUUUCCUUGUCUCCAACUUUCAUCUGAAUGUAUAGCCUUGGCCAUUUUUUGAAUUCUAUCCUGUAGUGUAUGCUAACACGAAAAUUGAGAGAAAAGAGAGUUUUCUUCAACAGUUCGUGUUCCUGACCCUGAGAAUGGAAAUGAAUUGAUCGCACAGCUGGUUCAUGUUAUCCAUACUUGUAGCAAUUAUCAGAAGUAACAAUCUCGGUUCAAGAGAAGCUAGUAAAGCAUUUACGUUAAACCCCAAUUUUAUGGGUCCCCAAAAAUUGUUAAUGAAUUUUAUCAUUUUAUUUUCGUUCAGAGAAUAUUGUAGGAAAAAAAAAUUACAAAUCUUUAUAAAAAGAAAGCCAACUUUUUAACAAUAGAAAUAUUUUAGAAAUCUGAAAUAAACUGUUUAGUUCUUUAUAUUAGUAAAUAAAGUUUUUUAAUUACAAAAUUAAAGUAAUGUAUUACAAAUACAUGGUUAACAUCUUAUUAACUUGAAUUAACUUAUACCAAUAUAUAUAGUAAUAUUACUAUAACUUCGAUGUUUUAUGUCUUGUAACAGUGUUACAUUACAAAAACAAGUAUGGAAAUAAAGGUUACAUUACACUACUUUUUGCAUGUUUUUCCCUUAUUAAAAUUUGAUUUUAGACCACCAAUUUUAUUAAGCCGCCGAUACGUUUUCAUGACGAAUCAGUUUAAAAGAUCCAAAUUUUGGAAAUUUCAUAUCCUUGAGAAUUGAGAUCAUCUUUGUCAAAACGCGUACCAAAUGGAUUUCAUUUAUGUUGUACAAAUUGGUUUAUUGCUACGAACUGGGUAGAGUGUGCACAAGUUCUUGGGGCGGAUCUAAUGCAUUAGUUACGGUUCCCGUGAACCCAUUAACAUUUGUAUGGAUUCUAUAUUUAUAUUGAAACAUUCAUUAAAUGUAUUAGAGUAUUUAGCUUGGAACUCAGUCGGUUAAUCUAAAUAUUAUUGUAUAUUAACGUGACAUUUCUGUAGGAACCCAUAAACUUAAAAUCAUAAAUUCGCCUUGUAUGGGUACAUUAAGUUUUUUACGCUCCUAUCACACCUGUUGAGAAAUUUGUGUAACAUUGGUCAUGUUGUCUUUCACUGUGUAAUAAUGAUUCUUGCUUGUAAAGAACACAACUAGCGUAGAGUUAUAACAUAUGGCACAUGAAAAUAAGAAAAGAAUAAAACAAGAAAAGCUCCAACAAAAUCUCUAGGAUGCAUGAGUUCUAGUGCAUCCUCUAAAAAUGGCAAUGAAAGAGCACCUGGGCGGCUUACUUUUAGAUCUAGAAGAUGGUUCAGAGGUUGCCGCCGCAUAAGAAUUUUUAUUUGUCUCUGUUCCGACAGAUGUGGCGGCAACAUUUGAAACCUCGUCAAAUUGGAUUCUUCUAUAUUUUUGAGAAUUUCCGAUUCCAUGAGCAGUGGUUGUUGGUGGCCCGCCAUCAACCGAUAUAUUGAGUCUGUUGUCCCAAAUGCGGCCGGAGGAUCCUUGUCGCCGGAAUGAAGAUGAUGAUCUCUGUAAUGUAGUCAUGGAUUAAUCAAAGUUGUGUUGGAAAUAUUUGAUGAAUAUUUCUCAUUGUUUUUUAUUUGGAUUUUUGUUUUCCAACUGUUCAUUA